rnacentral:rRNA from 1 species
AGAGUUUGAUCCUGGCUCAGGACGAACGCUGGCGGCGUGCUUAACACAUGCAAGUCGAGCGAUGAAGCUCCUUCGGGAGUGGAUUAGCGGCGGACGGGUGAGUAACACGUGGGUAACCUGCCUCAUAGAGGGGAAUAGCCUUCCGAAAGGAAGAUUAAUACCGCAUAAGAUUGUAGUUCUGCAUGGGACAGCAAUUAAAGGAGUGAUCCGCUAUGAGAUGGACCCGCGUCGCAUUAGCUAGUUGGUGAGGUAACGGCUCACCAAGGCGACGAUGCGUAGCCGACCUGAGAGGGUGAUCGGCCACAUUGGGACUGAGACACGGCCCAGACUCCUACGGGAGGCAGCAGUGGGGAAUAUUGCACAAUGGGGGAAACCCUGAUGCAGCAACGCCGCGUGAGUGAUGACGGUCUUCGGAUUGUAAAACUCUGUUGCAGGGGAAUAAGAAAGUGAAUGUACCCUGUGAGGAAGGGUCGGCUAACUUCGUGCCAGCAGCCGCGGUAAU